rnacentral:rRNA from 1 species
UACAAGCGGUGGAGCAUGUGGUUUAAUUCGAAGCUACGCGAAGAACCUUACCAGGUCUUGACAUACUCGUGCUAUUCCUAGAGAUAGGAAGUUCCUUCGGGACACGGGAUACAGGUGGUGCAUGGUUGUCGUCAGCUCGUGUCGUGAGAUGUUGGGUUAAGUCCCGCAACGAGCGCAGCCCCUAUUGUUAGUUGCCAUCAUUAAGUUGGGCACUCUAACGAGACUGCCGGUGAUAAACCGGAGGAAGGUGGGGAUGACGUCAAAUCAUCAUGCCCCUUAUGACCUGGGCU